GAGUAACCUGACCAUUUCAUACUUGAAGUGGAACGCCUCCUAACUGGACCGCGACGCCGGUCGAGCCAGGCCUAGUCCCUGUCCGUCCUCCAAAGCAUCGCGGAAAACGUUUUCUGUGCAAGACAAGCGCCCCCUUCAGAAACGAUUCAGAUCACUCAUGAGGCGCAUGGCUUCAACCUCGAGUAUAAAAGACACGGAUGAAGAAAGACGGGGAGGGCAUCGUUUUUAUUUCCUCACAUUGAAGUUUGGUGAUGGUAAAAAAUUAGCUCAAACUGAGAGUGAAAAUCUUCAAAGUCUACUGGGGAAAACUGAGAGAUGGCUCCCGUGAUCCUCGCGGCAAGAGAUGAAGGUGGCUGUGAUGGCAGAGAUGGAGAGAAGUGGAAGAGUUCACAGAGAUUCACUGACCUUGAUGACAGGCAAAGUGAGGCCAAGGGAAGAAUAUUCUUUCCAUAAUGUAACCAAAGAGCAGUCAACAAAGACAGGAGCAAGGCCUUGGUCUCCGGUGAGUAUGUAAGUGAAUUUAAGUGAGGUCGUCUUGUUACACUAAAUGGCCCCAGCCCCUCCUCUGUGUGACUGCUUGCUGCUCUGCACGUACUCUAAAAUAAUUCACAUGUUCUCCUCAUUUUUGGCCUCCACUUAUGCACGUGCUCCUCCGUAGCUUGAUAAAUUAAAACUUUGUUCUAUGAGUUUCUAUCCAGGAACAGGCUGACCACGGGUGGGAAACACACCUACAAGGUAUCCAUCACAGCUGACAGAAGAAUGAAACCAUGUGAUACCUGGAGCCCAUCAUGUGGGAAGACUAACAUCCCUGGAACACUCCCUCACUGCCCAUUUUUCCUAUAUAGCUACCUCAAGAGUCUGUAAUUUUUUUGUGUGUGUGUGAGGAAGAUUGGCCCUGAGCUAACAUCGGUGCCAA